rnacentral:rRNA from 1 species
AACGAACGCUGGCGGCAGGCCUAACACAUGCAAGUCGGACGAGACCUUCGGGUCUAGUGGCGGACGGGUGAGUAACACGUGGGAACGUACCUCUUGCUACGGAAUAGCCUCGGGAAACUGGGAGUAAUACCGUAUGUGCCCUACGGGGAAAGAUUUAUCGGCAAGAGAUCGGCCCGCGUUGGAUUAGGUAGUUGGUGUGGUAAUGGCUCACCAAGCCGACGAUCCAUAGCUGGUUUGAGAGGAUGAUCAGCCACACUGGGACUGAGACACGGCCCAG